rnacentral:tRNA from 1 species
ACCAGGAUGGCCGAGUGGUUAAGGCGUUGGGCGUAGGUCCCAAUGGAUUAAAGUCCUCGUGGGUUCAAACCCCACUCCUGGUA